rnacentral:lncRNA from 1 species
CUAAUUCGUGAGCAAAAGUCUUCCAUUUAAAUCUGUAAUCUGGUAAAAACUCUUCUUCAUGGUUCUAAAAUUGAUAAUUAUAGGAGGCGGGAAGAAGGAGCGUCUUACUAUUGGUCUUCAAGAAAGGAAAUCAGAAGGAAAGGAAGUUAACAAAGAUGGUAGCUAGCUAGGCUAGUGGUUAGUAAUCUCUGAAGUAAGGCUAGCUGGGCUAGUGGUUAGUAAUCUCUGAAGUAAGGCUAGCUAGGCUAGCGGUUAGUAAUCUCUGAAGUAAGGCUAGCUGGGCUAGCGGUUAGUAAUCUCUGAAGUAAGGCUAGCUGGGCUAGCGGUUAGUAAUCUCUGAAGUAAGGCUAGCUGGGCUAGCGGUUAAUAAUCUCUGAAGUAAGGCUAGCUAGGCUAGCGGUUAGUAAUCUCUGAAGUAAGGCUAGCUAGGCUAGCAAUUAGUAAUCUCUGAAGUAAGGCUAGCUGGGCUAGCGGUUAGUAAUCUCUGAAGUAAGGCUAGCUGGGCUAGCGGUUAGUAAUCUCUGAAGUAAGGCUAGCUAGACUAGCGGUUAGUAAUCUCUGAAGUAAAUUAAGGCUAGGCAAAUAACGUUAGUAAUCUCUGAAGUAAAGUAAAGUUAGCUAGGCUAGCGGUUAACGUUAGUAGUCUGAAGUAAAGUAGGCGAAUAACGUUAGUAGUCAAGUAGCUGAGUGACGUUGGUCAAAAUGAAGUGCAUUAAUGCUACCGGUCCGAUACAAAUACACUACACAUUUAAACUAUUUUCCUGACCGCUAUGGAGCUUUCAAAUCAAAUCAAAUCAAAGUUUAUUUGUCACGUGCGCCGAAUGCAACAGGUGUAGACCUUACAGUGAAUGCUUACUUACAGGCUCUAACCAAUAGUGCAAAAAUUGUAUUAGGUGAACAAUAGGUAAAUAAAGAAAUAAAACAACAGUAAAAAGACAGGCUAUAUACAGUAGAGAGGCAAUAAAAGUAGCGAGGUUACAUACAGACACCGGUUAGUCAGGCUGAUUGAGGUAGCAUGUACAUGUAGAUAUGGUUAAAGUGACUAUGCAUAUAUGAU